rfam:Candidatus Ishikawaella capsulata Mpkobe DNA, complete genome.
AAAUAUCUAUUAACAUAGGUAUCCUAUUUACAUAGUAAUUAAUAUAAUAUUUAAAUUAAUAGGAGUUAAUAGUGGCUCGUAUAGCAGGUAUAAAUAUUCCUGAU